rnacentral:rRNA from 1 species
GACGAACGCUGGCGGCGUGCUUAACACAUGCAAGUCGAACGAUGAAGCCGGAGCUUGCUCUGGUGAAUUAGUGGCGAACGGGUGAGUAACACGUGAGUAACCUGCCCUUGACUCUGGGAUAACUGCUAGAAAUGGUAGCUAAUACCGGAUACGACCCUCGGCGGCAUCGCCAGGGGGUGGAAAGAAUUUCGGUCAAGGAUGGACUCGCGGCCUAUCAGCUAGUUGGUGAGGUAACGGCUCACCAAGGCGACGACGGGUAGCCGGCCUGAGAGGGUGACCGACCACACUGGGACUGAGAAACGGCCCAGACUCCUACGGGGGGCAGCAGUGGGGAAUAUUGCACAAUGGGCGCAAGCCUGAUGCAGCAACGCCGCGUGAGGGAUGACGGCCUUCGGGUUGUAAACCUCUUUUAGUAGGGAAGAAGCGAAAGUGACGGUACCUGCAGAAAAAGCACCGGCUAACUACGUGCCAGCCGCCGCCGUAA